rfam:Candidatus Woesearchaeota archaeon CG1_02_57_44 cg1_0.2_scaffold_483_c, whole genome shotgun sequence.
AGCGGGGUAGGGCAGUCAGGAGUGCCCGGCGGGCUCAUAACCCGCAGGUCGGUGGUUCAAAUCCAUCCCCCGCUA